rnacentral:rRNA from 1 species
UACGGGGGGGGCAAGCGUUGUUCGGAAUUACUGGGCGUAAAGGGCUCGUAGGCGGCCAACUAAGUCAGACGUGAAAUCCCCGGGCUCAACCCGGGAACUGCGUCCGAUACUGGGAGGCUUGAAUCCGGGAGAGGGAUGUGGAAUUCCAGGUGUAGCGGUGAAAUGCGUAGAUAUCUGGAGGAACACCGGUGGCGAAGGCGGCAUCCUGGACCGGUAUUGACGCUGAGGCGCGAAAGCGUGGGGAGCGAACGGG